rnacentral:rRNA from 1 species
UGUAAACCACUGUUAGGAUUAUGAAAGCGUAAGGACCUAAUACGUCCUGAGUUGAUCUGAUCCAGAGAAAGGGACGGCUAACUCUGUGC